AUCGUCAAUAUCGGAUGUGGAAACAUGGACAAUAGCCCCCAAAGUGGCUCAACUCUCCCAGAUCUCCCGUCAGAUGAUACAAAUUCGGAUGCUUCUCGGCCACUUCUUCAGAAGGUUAACGAGAAAUUGCAGAGCGAUAUCACCAUGAAGAUGGGACAUCAUUCUCUGAUUCUUGAAGUGCUGGAUACAUGCAAUCAAACCUCAAUAAACUUUCUCUCCGAACAUACUACAUCGAAACCAAGGCUGGUA